rnacentral:rRNA from 1 species
CGUAUGGUUCUAUUUUGUUGGUUUCUAGGACCGUCGUAAUGAUUAAUAGGAACGGUCGGGGGCAUCAGUAUUGAGUAGCUAGAGGUGAAAUUCUUGGAUUUACUCAAGACUAACUAGUGCGAAAGCAUUUGCCAAGGACGUUUUCAUUAAUCAAGAACGAAAGUUAGGGGAUCGAAGACGCUUAGAUACCGUCGUAGUCUUAACCGUAAACUAUGCCGACUUGGGAUCGGACAGGUCAUUAUUUUUUGCUUGUUCGGCACCACGUGAGAAAUCAAAGUUUUUAGGUUCUGGGGGGAGUAUGGUCGCAAGGCUGAAACUUAAAGGAAUUGACGGAAGGGCACCACCAGGAGUGGAGCCUGCGGCUCAAUUUGACUCAACACGGGGAAACUC